rnacentral:lncRNA from 1 species
GGCCUGCACUUCAGUCUACGUCUGGUACUAGGCCUUUAUUUUAUUGUAUGGCAUUACUGCUUCAAGAAAUAUAUUUUUAGUCAUGGGCAAGACCUAAAAACAUAUCUGGUUGCUUUCCAAAGUCUGAAACGUUGUUUUUUUAAUCUCAAGAUGCAGGGUACGGGGAGCAAAGCCUACAGAAAUGGCCUGCUAAGUGAGAAGCAUUUAAACAACUUGUAACAGCAUACAAUUCACUAGGUCACAAUGUUCAGUUUAAAAGCUGUGUUUUCUAAGCCCUUAAUUUUAUCAGAACUUUAAAUAUAGGAUAAAUGCUUUUAUGCCUGUAGAAGAUGCAAUUAGAGUUCCACCAUUUAACAAGAGCCAGAAACAGCAACAAUUUCAGUGGCCAUGGCUAGGUUUUGCCUUCUAAUUGUAUGCUUUCUCUUCCCAGCUCCACCCAGCAUGUGCAUGUGAAGCCGACCAUAUCUAAAGCUAUGGCAAGGAAACUACAUGGGUGUGGUCCCAGCUAAGCCCAGCCACGUCUCUGCAGGGUGCUGACUGCUCCGGGAGGAGGAAAGCAUGAAACAGGAACAACAGUUCUGUGUCCUUUGCAUGAGUAACAGAUGUUUUGAAAGAGCUGCAAGAGACCAAGGGAACCCUUAUCUCAUCUGCAUAUGGUGUUCACAAAGGGCCUGCUGGAAGAUCCAAGUCCAGUCUGCACUCAUGAAGCACCUGCUCUGCAGUUGUUUCUCUCCAGUUUCACACCUGCAGCUGGGUGCACCCGAGGAGAGGCUGCUGGGGACCUGCUCUGCAGAAAGGGGGAAGCCUGAGGCCAUCUUCCUCCAGAGUUUGCCAUGUCCCUGGUAGGUUAACUGAUUUCUUUGCUCCUAUGUGGCACCUGGGAGCUGACAUGCGCACUUUAAGUCUGGUCGAUGGGACCAGUACAUUAGAGGAAAAACAGGCCAACCAACCUGACAGUACAAAGGGACUCAGCUCUUGAGGGAUCAGCUAAAGUCCUGUCAGUUUGUCAGCAGAAUUACGCAGGCUUCAGUUAAGUAAAUCCUAAUUUAAAAUUGUGUAACAGCAAAUUGAAUCACAUUCAUAGCUGUGAUUAAUAUAGGUGUGUUUUAUUGUAUGUGUAUAAUUAUUUAUUAUAGUAAGUUUAUAGAAUAUUACUUAAAAUAUAAUUUUUUCUUUAAUUCCGGAGUGCUGAUGGCUUUUCUGCUGUCUCAUAAGGUAGUCUACUUUCAGCAUACUGUUUAACAAGAAUGUUUAGAUUAGAAAUACAUACAGACCAUCAUUCCUGCUUCUGGGUUUUUCAGAGUUAAGCAACAAAUUGUUUAGCAUGUCAUGGCAAUGCUAGUGUUGCUACAAACAGAAACAUAUGAUUGGAUAGAAAGCAUAAAAUAAUUUAAGAUGCAUGUUCAUCUAAAAAUCUUUGCUGAAUUUCACAGAACAAAGCCAAGGGACUUUGUGUCUUCCACAUAUUGAGAUGGUUCAUAUGUGGUACACUGACACAUUUGUCGUUGCCUGAUGGUACCACCCUAUGUAUUGAAGAAGAUUUCUUUUCAGACUUUUGCUUUUGUAGCUGUAGUUCUGAAACAUGAAAACAAAACAAAACAGUAAAGUGCUAAGAAUUAUAGUGUAUUAACCUAACAGUCAAGCAAAAUGAGAUCUUUUUUCCAGUAUGAAGGACCAGGGUUCUUACUUUCUAUGGUGAUUUACCUUCAACUGUACUGUGGCCUGUAGCAAAAUUACUGUAAUAAGAGUUUCAAAUAUUUGACAAAGGAAAAAAAAAAAAAAAGAGAGUGAUUUGAAUUAAGAAGUAAAAACCUGCUUAGGAAAAUCUACUGCAGCAUAUAGACAUCUAGAUCUUGUGGUUGAGAUAAGGUGCAGCUGAACAGCCCCUCCUGAAUGUUCCACUAAGUUCAGGUACUCAAUUAAAUAGCAGAAGAUUAUAUCAUAUCUCUGGAAAACCAGGUGCUCUGUAGAAUUACUCCAGGAAACCCAUUAAAGUGUGAAGGAAUCAUAAAUGUUACCCAGUACUGGACUUCUAGUGAUAUAAUCUCUCCUUUAGUAACCAAGGGUAAUACUUCCUUUAAAGAAAAACUCUGAUGUCACACAUAUCUUUUGGCAAAAAAAUAAAUGCUAUUUAUGUGUUUUUGCCUUAACUUCA